CAACUCUCGCAUUUUCCACGUUUGAAAGAAAUAUGGCAUGGCCAAGCACUGCCUGUCAGCUUCUUCAACAAUUUAUUCGACCUGGUGGUGGAUGACUGCACGAAUAUGUCGAGUGCUAUUCCUGCUAAUCUGCUACGGUGCUUGAACAAUUUGGUAUACCUGGAAGUGAGGAAUUGUGAUUCACUUGAAGAGGUGCUUCAUUUGGAAGAGCUAAUUAAUGCUGACAAAGAACAUAUAGGCCCCCUGUUUCCUAAGCUUUUCAAGCUAGGGCUCACUGACCUUCCAAAACUCAAAAGAUUUUUCAACUUCACUAGGAAUAUAAUUGAACUGCCUAAGUUGAGAUAUCUAACUAUUGAGAAUUGCCCUGAUAUGGAAACAUUCAUAUCCAAUUCUACAUCUGUACUGCACAUGACAGCAGAUAAUAAGGAAGCUCAAAAAUUAAAAUCAGAAAAGAACCUCUUGGUAGCUGAUCAAAUACAACAUCUCUUCAAUGAAAAGGUAAUCAUUAUUAUUAUUUUUCCCUUCACUUUCAUUCGCACAGAUGUAAUUUCAUUAGAAUCAAAUCAAAUUUAAUGACUCAUCUUUUUACAUGUCGUCUUAAUUUAUAUCUGAUUUAACAAUAUAACCUCCGUUAUUAACUAACUUUAUAGUAUGAAUUAUAAAAAUGUCUUAAAUUAUUUCGAUGACUGGUAACAUGAGGUGAUGAACUAUAUUUCAAUUAUGCUUGUCGCAUCUCUGUUUUCCUAGCUAAUUCAUUUGGAUUUAGUAUCAGAUUUCAUUUAUGUGUUUCAAAGGGUAAUCGAUUUGAUACUUAUAUUUGGGAUCCUACUGCAAAGCAUACUAAUUUGGAAAAAAAAAUAUAAAAUGCUGUGAUUAAUCUUGUCCAUAAAAUAUGCAGGGGAAGACUGCAGAGAUUGGAUACAUAUUUUAAUUUACAACUUAAUUUUGUUGAUUUUCAGGUUGCAUUCCCUAAAUUGAGGGAGUUAAAGCUGUCUAAAUUACACAAAGUGCAGCAUCUCUGGAAGGAAAAUGACGAAUCCAACAAAGCGUUUGCAAACUUGGGAAGUCUAGAAAUAUCAGAAUGUAGUAAGUUACAAAAAUUAGUACCACCUUCGUGGCAUUUGGAAAAUCUGUGGGGACUACAAGUAUCGAAGUGUCACGGGUUGAUAAAUGCGUUGACGCUCUCAGCAUCUAAAAAUCUAGUGAAUCUUCAAAGAAUAAAGAUAGCUGAUUGCAAAAUGAUAGAAGAAAUCAUACAAUCGCAGGUUGGAGAAAAAACGAAAGAUUGCAUUGUUUUCAAGGAAUUAAAGUACUUGGAACUUGAUUGUUUGCCAAUCCUAACAAGCUUUUGUUUGGGUAAUUACGCUCUUGAAUUCCCGUCCUUGAAACAAGUAGUUGUGAGACAGUGUCCAAAAAUGAAGAUCUUCUCUCAAGGAGUCUUAGACACACCAAUGCUAAACAAAGUGAACGUCACCGAAGAAGAAAAAGAUGAUGAUGAAGGAUGUGGGGAAGGCAACCUCAAUGACACCAUAAAAAAAUUGUUCAAUGAAAUGGUGAGUAUCAAUUAAGUUUUGGUGCUAUUUAGAUAAAAUAAGAAGAGCUUACUAGGUGCAUUUGAUCAACAAUCCAAUCCUCAACGAUGGAAUCGAUGCCAUCAAAUAAACAUGACUUAAUCUUGAAACCACAAACUGCACUAAGCAUAGCACCAAAGCCAGAGCGUGACUAUAAAGAAGAAGAAAAAAGAAGGCAAAGAAGAAUUAAAUUAACAUGAAAUUCAACUGGAACAAUACAAAAUAUGAAAUUUUUAGCAAUCUUACGAGCAUUAUACACAAAUCUCAAUUCACGACAAAUAGGGGAAUGAAUCACUAACAUCACCCAAUUCGUAUAUUCAAAUAAUGUAUCCCCACUCCUAACAAGCAACGUGCUACCACAGUCGAUUAGUUGUUAGGGUUAAGGCUUACCAUAGAGAACUGGAUGGCGCUAACUAAAUGACAAGUUGAAACGGCAUCUGCAAUCGUAUUGAAUGACAUUGAACCGCGAGGUAGGGUUUAAAUGAAUACCGGGCAGAGAUAAAUUGGUGUGGUGAAUUAGGGUUUUGUGGCUACGUUUUAUUUCGAUUGAAAAAAGGAAUUUGAGCCAGGCUUUAAUAUGUAAAUUUUCGCUUAGUUGAAACAGAGGAAAGCUUUUGGGUUAUUAAAGUGAAAGAUAUGGAAUAAUACAAAAAAUUAUUGAAGUGAAAGAACAGGAAUACAAAAAAUCAGCAGAUGAGAUCGUUGAAAGAUGCGGACUGCUGUACGGCCAAGGCGGAUGUACGGUACAGCAGUGAUGGUCAUUUUGAAUCGACCGUUGAUUAAAAAAAUUCCUCAAAUAUUCACUCUAUAACAGUCCCAUGUUGAUGGCGUUGGGAAGUGUUUUCCAGAAAUGUUUUCCAUUUUUAAAAGCAUGAAUAUCGGGAAAAAAAAAUGGGAAAUACAGCGUUUUAGUUUAGUUAUUUUAAAAAUAGGCAUGUUUGAAAAUUAAAAUUUUUUAAAAACUAGCAUCAAGAUGAAAAAUGAAUUUAUAAUAUUUAAAAAUUAGCUGAAAUUCUUUCUCCGUUCCUAAUACUAAAUAGUGUAAAUGCAUUUUCAUUAUCUUUGUUUUUCUGGACUUCUAUUUAUUUAUUUUUGUUUUAAUUUUUUCCUUUUUUUCUUUAACAAAAAAUAUCUAGUAGACAUUCAUGGUUUGUUAUUUUUCAUAAAACAAUUGUAUGAUUUUGACAUACUUUGAAUCUAGUUGAAUGCUACUCUUUAUUUUCAGGUUGGAAUUCCCAAUAGUCUAGUGAAUCUUAAUGUAUCACUCUGUGAAAAAAUAGAAGAAAUCAUAGGACAUGUUGGAGAAGAAGCGAAGGAGAAUCGUAUUGCUUUCAGCGAAUUAAAACUUUUGGAACUUGAUUAUUUACCAAGGCUUACCAGCUUUUGUUCGGAGAAUUACACUCUUGAAUUCCCAUCAUUGGAACAAGUUUCUAUGACACAUUGUCUGAACAUGAAGACUUUUUCUCAGGGAAUCUUAUCCACACCAAAGCUAUGCAAAGUGCAAGUGAGUAAAAGGAAGUAUUAAGUUUUAUAUGAAACUGUGAUGUUGUUUGGUUACUAAGAAAAUAGGAGGAAAGAAAACUUCUGUAAGCUGAGAAUUCUGUUAUUAUUGAUCUAAUGAAUCUGGAAAUUACAAGCCUUUUUAUAUGUGCAUAGAAGAUUCUACACACAUUGCACACACGCACAGGUUACUACUAACAACCUCUAUAACAACCUUUAGCUGACUCAGCUGCCAUGUCAGCAUACUCAUUAACUAACUAAUUCUAUUCUUAACAGGAAGAGGGUGAAUUGCGCCGUUGGGAAGGCAACCUUAAUUCCACUAUACAAAAGUGUUACGAAGAAAUGGUAUGUGUUAAAUCGAUUCGUCGAAAUUACUUAUGCAUCUCCCUUGCACUUGCACAUUUGAACAUAUAAGUUUAAUGUAUAUAUAUAUCUAUGCCUUUCAAAAAGAAAAAAUUGUAUAUAUCCAGUGCAAUUGUUUUGGUUUGUGCAGAUUGGAUUUCGUGACAUAAUACAUUUGCAACUCUCGCAUUUUCCACGUUUGAAAGAAAUAUGGCAUGGCCAAGCACUGCCUGUCAGCUUCUUCAACAAUUUAUUCGACCUGGUGGUGGAUGACUGCACGAAUAUGUCGAGUGCUAUUCCUGCUAAUCUGCUACGGUGCUUGAACAAUUUGGUAUACCUGGAAGUGAGGAAUUGUGAUUCACUUGAAGAGGUGCUUCAUUUGGAAGAGCUAAUUAAUGCUGACAAAGAACAUAUAGGCCCCCUGUUUCCUAAGCUUUUCAAGCUAGGGCUCACUGACCUUCCAAAACUCAAAAGAUUUUUCAACUUCACUAGGAAUAUAAUUGAACUGCCUAAGUUGAGAUAUCUAACUAUUGAGAAUUGCCCUGAUAUGGAAACAUUCAUAUCCAAUUCUACAUCUGUACUGCACAUGACAGCAGAUAAUAAGGAAGCUCAAAAAUUAAAAUCAGAAAAGAACCUCUUGGUAGCUGAUCAAAUACAACAUCUCUUCAAUGAAAAGGUAAUCAUUAUUAUUAUUUUUCCCUUCACUUUCUUUCGCACAGUUGUAAUUUCAUUAGAAUCAAAUCAAAUUUAAUGACUCAUCUUUUUACAUGUCGUCUUAAUUUAUAUCUGAUUUAACAAUAUAACCGCAAUUAUUAACUAACUUUAUAGUAUGAAUUAUAAAAGUGUCUGAAAUUAAUUGGAUGCCUGGUAACACGAGGUGAUGAACUAUAUUAAUUAUGUGUGUAACAUCUCUGUUUUCCUAGCUAAUUCAUAUUAGAUUUAGCAUCAGAUUUCAUUUAUGUGUUUCAAAGGGUAAUCGAUUUGAUACUUAUAUUUGGGAUCCUACUGCAAAGCAUACUAAUUUGGAAAAAAAAAUAUAAAAUGCUGUGAUUAAUCUUGUCCAUAAAAUAUGCAGGGGAAGACUGCAGAGAUUGGAUACAUAUUUUCAUUUACAACUUAAUUUUGUUGAUUUUUAGGUUGCAUUCCCUCAAUUGAUAGAGUUAAAGUAUCUGGAUUACACAAAGUGCAGCAUCUCUGGAAGGAAAAUGACGAAUCCAGCAAAGCGUUUGCAAACUUGGGAAGUCUAGAAAUAUCGGAAUGUAGUAAGUUGCAAAAAUUAGUACCACCUUCGUGGCAUUUGGAAAAUCUGUGGGAACUAGAAGUAUCGAAGUGUCACGGGUUGAUAAAUGUGUUGACGCUCUCAACAUCUAAAACUCUAGUGAAUCUCGAAAGAAUGAAGAUAGCUGAUUGCAAAAUGAUAGAAGAAAUCAUACAAUCGCAGGUUGGAGAAGAAGCGGAAGAUUGCAUUGUUUUCAGGAAAUUGGAGUACUUGGGACUUGAUUGUUUGCCAAGCCUAACAAGCUUUUGUUUGGGUAAUUACGCUCUUGAGUUCCCGUCCUUGGAACACGUAGUUGUGAGACAGUGCCCAACAAUGAAGAUUUUCUCUCAAGGAGUCGUAGACGCACCGAAGCUAAACAAAGUGAAACCCACCGAAGAAGAAGAUGGUGAUGACGAAGGAUGUUGGGAAGGAAACCUCAAUGACACCAUAAAAAAAUUGUUCAAUGAAAUGGUGAGUAUCAAUGAAGUGUUGGCACUAUCUAGCAAAUUAUUUCUAUAGCUAUUAACGUGGCAUAAUAUGAUUGCUUGAUUGAAAAUAUAAAAUAAUAAUAAAUAAAUUAUGAGGGUUAUGUUAUGUUUUUGUUUAAUCAAUCAUAUUACGUCAUAUUAGUUUGUACAAUAUUAUUUGUGCACAAAAGAAAUGGUAUGUGUUAAAUCGAUUCGUCGAAAUUACUUAUGCAUCUCCCUUGCACUUGCACAUUUGAACAUAUAAGUUUAAUGUAUAUAUAUAUCUAUGCCUUUCAAAAAGAAAAAAUUGUAUAUAUCCAGUGCAAUUGUUUUGGUUUGUGCAGAUUGGAUUUCGUGACAUAAUACAUUUGCAACUCUCGCAUUUUCCACGUUUGAAAGAAAUAUGGCAUGGCCAAGCACUGCCUGUCAGCUUCUUCAACAAUUUAUUCGACCUGGUGGUGGAUGACUGCACGAAUAUGUCGAGUGCUAUUCCUGCUAAUCUGCUACGGUGCUUGAACAAUUUGGUAUACCUGGAAGUGAGGAAUUGUGAUUCACUUGAAGAGGUGCUUCAUUUGGAAGAGCUAAUUAAUGCUGACAAAGAACAUAUAGGCCCCCUGUUUCCUAAGCUUUUCAAGCUAGGGCUCACUGACCUUCCAAAACUCAAAAGAUUUUUCAACUUCACUAGGAAUAUAAUUGAACUGCCUAAGUUGAGAUAUCUAACUAUUGAGAAUUGCCCUGAUAUGGAAACAUUCAUAUCCAAUUCUACAUCUGUACUGCACAUGACAGCAGAUAAUAAGGAAGCUCAAAAAUUAAAAUCAGAAAAGAACCUCUUGGUAGCUGAUCAAAUACAACAUCUCUUCAAUGAAAAGGUAAUCAUUAUUAUUAUUUUUCCCUUCACUUUCUUUCGCACAGUUGUAAUUUCAUUAGAAUCAAAUCAAAUUUAAUGACUCAUCUUUUUACAUGUCGUCUUAAUUUAUAUCUGAUUUAACAAUAUAACCGCAAUUAUUAACUAACUUUAUAGUAUGAAUUAUAAAAGUGUCUGAAAUUAAUUGGAUGCCUGGUAACACGAGGUGAUGAACUAUAUUAAUUAUGUGUGUAACAUCUCUGUUUUCCUAGCUAAUUCAUAUUAGAUUUAGCAUCAGAUUUCAUUUAUGUGUUUCAAAGGGUAAUCGAUUUGAUACUUAUAUUUGGGAUCCUACUGCAAAGCAUACUAAUUUGGAAAAAAAAAUAUAAAAUGCUGUGAUUAAUCUUGUCCAUAAAAUAUGCAGGGGAAGACUGCAGAGAUUGGAUACAUAUUUUCAUUUACAACUUAAUUUUGUUGAUUUUUAGGUUGCAUUCCCUCAAUUGAUAGAGUUAAAGUAUCUGGAUUACACAAAGUGCAGCAUCUCUGGAAGGAAAAUGACGAAUCCAGCAAAGCGUUUGCAAACUUGGGAAGUCUAGAAAUAUCGGAAUGUAGUAAGUUGCAAAAAUUAGUACCACCUUCGUGGCAUUUGGAAAAUCUGUGGGAACUAGAAGUAUCGAAGUGUCACGGGUUGAUAAAUGUGUUGACGCUCUCAACAUCUAAAACUCUAGUGAAUCUCGAAAGAAUGAAGAUAGCUGAUUGCAAAAUGAUAGAAGAAAUCAUACAAUCGCAGGUUGGAGAAGAAGCGGAAGAUUGCAUUGUUUUCAGGAAAUUGGAGUACUUGGGACUUGAUUGUUUGCCAAGCCUAACAAGCUUUUGUUUGGGUAAUUACGCUCUUGAGUUCCCGUCCUUGGAACACGUAGUUGUGAGACAGUGCCCAACAAUGAAGAUUUUCUCUCAAGGAGUCGUAGACGCACCGAAGCUAAACAAAGUGAAACCCACCGAAGAAGAAGAUGGUGAUGACGAAGGAUGUUGGGAAGGAAACCUCAAUGACACCAUAAAAAAAUUGUUCAAUGAAAUGGUGAGUAUCAAUGAAGUGUUGCACUAUCUAGCAAAUUAUUUCUAUAGCUAUUAACGUGGCAUAAUAUGAUUGCUUGAUUGAAAAUAUAAAAUAAUAAUAAAUAAAUUAUGAGGGUUAUGUUAUGUUUUUGUUUAAUCAAUCAUAUUACAUCAUAUUAGUUUGUACAAUAUUAUUUGUGCACAAAAGAUUGUGGUCGUAUCAUUAC
rnacentral:lncRNA from 1 species